AACGGCCGUACCAUGCUAGAAUAUACCGGUUCUCGUUAGAUCACCGAAAGUUAGCACCAGUAGGCGCGUCAGUACUUGGGUGGGUGACCACCUAGAACACCUGCGUGCCGUU